GAAUGCACAGCAGGGGACCCUCCUCCUUCUCCCUUUUAGGUCCUCACCCCCUCCUUCRCCUUCUGUGGUAGGGCAUGCUCUCUCCUCCACCAUCAGCAUGCUGCCUGCUCCCACGCUGUUCUGCCUCCUUCUCCCUGCAACUGUCCAUCCCUGUCCCAGCAGCAAAGAGGUCUGUCACUUCUGUCGCCGCUGAGCUGCUGCUGUGGCCAGGUCUUUGCCUUCACCAUGUCAAGGAAUCUUAAUGAUGUAUUCCUUCUCCAUUGCAUUCCCCACCUGUCAUCU
rnacentral:lncRNA from 1 species